GACAGAGGGUGCAAACGUUGCUCGGAAUUACUGGGCGUAAAGCGCGUGUAGGUGGUCACGCAAGUCAGGUGUGAAAGCCAGGGCUCAACCCUGGAAGUGCACAUGAUACUACGUGGCUGGAGUACUGAAGAGGAGAGCGGAAUUCCCGGUGUAGAGGUGAAAUUCGUAGAUAUCGGGAGGAACACCAGUGGCGAAGGCGGCUCUCUGGGCAGAUACUGACACUGAGACGCGAAAGCGUGGGGAGCGAACAGG
rnacentral:rRNA from 1 species